UCGAGGAUCUUCGGCAAUGGGCGCAAGCCUGACCGAGCGACGCCGCGUGCGCGAUGAAGGCCUUCGGGUUGUAAAGCGCUGUCGAGGGGGAGGAAAGCCCGCAAGGGUCUGACCUAUCCCUGGAGGAAGCACGGGCUAAGUUCGUGCCAGCAGCCGCGGUAAGACGAACCGUGCGAACGUUGUUCGGAAUCACUGGGCUUAAAGGGCGCGUAGGCGGCUUGCCAAGUCUAGGGUGAAAUCUUUCGGCUCAACCGGAAAAGUGCCUUGGAUACUGGCGAGCUUGAGGGAGGUAGGGGCAUGUGGAACUUCCGGUGGAGCGGUGAAAUGCGUUGAUAUCGGAAGGAACGCCGGUGGCGAAAGCGACGUGCUGGACCUCUUCUGACGCUGAGGCGCGAAAGCUAGGGGAGCAAACGGG
rnacentral:rRNA from 1 species